rnacentral:rRNA from 1 species
GACGAACGCUGGCGGCGUGCCUAAUACAUGCAAGUCGAACGCAGUGGGGACGGGUGAGUAACACGUGGGUAACCUCCCAUCAGAGGGGAUAACACUUGGAAACAGGUGCUAAACCGAUACUGAUGGAUGGACCCGCGGUGCAUUAGCUAGUUGGUGAGGGAACCGCUAACCAAGGCCACGCUGCAUAGCCGACCUGGGGGGGUGGUCGGCCACACGGGGACCGAGGCACGGCCCAGACUCCUAAGGGGGGGAGGAGGAGGGAAUCUUCGGGAAAGGACGAAAGGCUUAACGAGGAAAGGCGGGGUAGGGAAGAAGGUUUUCGGAACGGAAAACCCUGUUGUUAGAGGAGCGGUAUCUAACCAGAAAGCCACGGCUAACUACGUGCCAGCAGCCGCGGUAAUUC